rnacentral:tRNA from 1 species
GCCAAUGUAGCUCAGGGGUAGAGCACUUCCAUGGUAAGGAAGGGGUCUGGGGUUCAAAUCCCCACAUUGGCU